rnacentral:rRNA from 1 species
UAACACAUGCAAGUCGAACGGAUCCUUCGGGAUUAGUGGCAGACGGGUGAGUAACGCGUGGGAAGCUACCUUGUGGUAGGGGACAACAGUUGGAAACGACUGCUAAUACCCUAUGAGCCCUAUGGGGGAAAGAUUUAUCGCCAUGAGAUGUGCCCGCGUUAGAUUAGCUAGUUGGUAAGGUAAUGGCUUACCAAGGCGACGAUCUAUAGCUGGUCUGAGAGGAUGAUCAGCCACACUGGGACUGAGACACGGCCCAGACUCCUACGGGAGGCAGCAGUGGGGAAUAUUGGACAAUGGGGGCAACCCUGAUCCAGCCAUGCCGCGUGUGUGAUGACGGCCUUAGGGUUGUAAAGCACUUUCAGCACGUGAAGAUAAUGACAUUAACUGCAGAAGAAGCCCCGGCUAACUUCGUGCCAGCAGCCGCGGUAAUACGAAGGGGGCUAGCGUUGUUCGGAAUCACUGGGCGUAAAGAGUACGUAGGCGGACUGAUAAGCUAGGGGUGAAAUCCCAAGGCUCAACCUUGGAACUGCCUUUGACUACUGUCAGUCUUGAGAUCGAGAGAGGUGAGUGGAACUCCGAGUGUAGAGGUGAAAUUCGUAGAUAUUCGGAAGAACACCAGUGGCGAAGGCGGCUCACUGGCUCGCUACUGACGCUGAG